GAUGAACGCUAGCUACAGGCUUAACACAUGCAAGUCGAGGGGCAGCACAGAGAUAGCUUGCUAUCUUGGGUGGCGACCGGCGCACGGGUGAGUAACGCGUAUCCAACCUGCCCAUUACUCUGGGAUAGCCUUGCGAAAGUAAGAUUAAUACCGGAUGUUGUUAAAAACCCGCAUGAGUUUUUAACCAAAGAUUUAUUGGUAAUGGAUGGGGAUGCGUGACAUUAGGUAGUAGGUGAGGUAACGGCUCACCUAGCCGACGAUGUCUAGGGGUUCUGAGAGGAAGGUCCCCCACACUGGAACUGAGACACGGUCCAGACUCCUACGGGAGGCAGCAGUGAGGAAUAUUGGUCAAUGGGCGAGAGCCUGAACCAGCCAAGUCGCGUGAGGGACGACGGUACUAAGUAUUGUAAACCUCUUUUGUCAGGGAACAAAGAGACCACGAGUGGUAAGAUGAGUGUACCUGAAGAAAAAGCAUCGGCUAACUCCGUGCCAGCAGCCGACGG
rnacentral:rRNA from 1 species